rnacentral:lncRNA from 1 species
GUUGAGGGGAAUGUUGCCUGGCUCAAGGCUUUUCAUAGUUUGAUCUAUCUACUAUGAUUAAGGCUUCGGGCCAGGCUUCAUCCCCCUCAAAUUAAACCUCUUUUCAUUUGAUCACACGUGACAUGAUCAUAAUUAAACUAGUCAAUUAUGCAAAGGUUAGGCUGAGAGGAACGCAGUCUGGCUCGAGGAAUGCUCAGAUCUGUUUUGAUCUGAUCGAUAUGUUCAUAUCUAAUUAAUUCUCGGACCAGGCUUCAUUCCUCCCAUC